rnacentral:rRNA from 1 species
GAUGAACGCUGGCGGCGUGCUUAACACAUGCAAGUCGAACGGAAAGGCUCCUGCUUGCAGGGGUACUCGAGUGGCGAACGGGUGAGUAACACGUGGGUGAUCUGCCCUUCACUUCGGGAUAAGCCUGGGAAACUGGGUCUAAUACCGGGUAGGACGAUGGUUUGGAUGCCAUUGUGGAAAGUUAUUUCGGUGUGGUAUGAGCUCGCGGCCUAUCAGCUUGUUGGUGGGUUAAUGGCCUACCAAGGCGUCGACGGGUAGCCGGCCUGAGAGGGUGUACGGCGACAUUGGGACUGAGGUACGGCCCAGAAUCCUACGGGAGGCAGCAGUGGGGAAUAUUGCACAAUGGGCGCAAGCCUGAUGCAGAGACGCCGCGUGGGGGAAGACGGCCUUCGGGUUGUAAACUCAUUUCGCUAGGGACGAAGCGCAAGUGACGGUACCUGGAGAAGAAGCACCGGCUAACUACGUG